rnacentral:rRNA from 1 species
UACGUAGGGUGCAAGCGUUAAUCGGAAUUACUGGGCGUAAAGCGUGCGCAGGCGGCUUUGCAAGACAGAUGUGAAAAUCCCAGGCUUAACCUGGGAACUGCAUUCGAGACUGCAUUGCUAGAGUAUGGGAGAGGGAAGUGGAAUUUCCGGUGUAGCGGUGAAAUGCGUAGAUAUCGGAAGGAACAUCAGUGGCGAAAGCGACUUCCUGGACCAAUACUGACGCUCAUGUGCGAAAGCGUGGGGAGCAAACAGG